CGCGGGGUAGAGCAGUUGGUAGCUCGUCGGGCUCAUAACCCGGAGGUCAAAGGUUCAAGUCCUUUCCCCGCAACCA
rnacentral:tRNA from 2 species